rnacentral:rRNA from 1 species
AUUGAACGCUGGCGGCAUGCUUUACACAUGCAAGUCGAACGGCAGCGCGGGCUUCGGCCUGGCGGCGAGUGGCGAACGGGUGAGUAAUACAUCGGAACGUGCCCAGUAGUGGGGGAUAGCUCGGCGAAAGCCGGAUUAAUACCGCAUACGACCUGAGGGUGAAAGCGGGGGAUCUUCGGACCUCGCGCUAUUGGAGCGGCCGAUGGCAGAUUGGCUAGUUGGUGGGGUAAAGGCCUACCAAGGCGACGAUCUGUAGCUGGUCUGAGAGGACGACCAGCCACACUGGGGCUGAGACACGGCCCAGACUCCUACGGGAGGCAGCAGUGGGGAAUUUUGGACAAUGGGCGAAAGCCUGAUCCAGCAAUGCCGCGUGUGUGAUGAAGGCCUUCGGGUUGUAAAGCACUUUUGGCGGGAACGAAAAGGACUGUGCCAAUACCACGGUUCGAUGACGGUACCCGCAGAAUAAGCACCGGCUAACUACGUG